UACGUAGGGUGCAGGCGUUAAUCGGAAUUACUGGGCGUAAAGCGUGCGCAGGCGGCGAUGUAAGUCAGAUGUGAAAUCCCCGGGCUCAACCUGGGAACUGCAUUUGUGACUGCAUCGCUGGAGUGCGGCAGAGGGGGAUGGAAUUCCGCGUGUAGCAGUGAAAUGCGUAGAUAUGCGGAGGAACACCGAUGGCGAAGGCAAUCCCCUGGGCCUGCACUGACGCUCAUGCACGAAAGCGUGGGGAGCAAACAGG
rnacentral:rRNA from 1 species